rnacentral:rRNA from 1 species
GCCGAACCGGACAAACGAUAUUCGGAAUCACUGGGCUUAAAGGGUGCGUAGGCGGCGCGGCAAGAUGGGUGGGAAAUCCCUCGGCUCAACCGAGGAAUAGCGCCCAAAACUGCCGUGCUCGAGGGAGACAGAGGUGAGUGGAACUUAGGGUGGAGCGGUGAAAUGUGUUGAUAUCCUAAGGAACUCCGGUGGCGAAAGCGACUCACUGGGUCUCUUCUGACGCUGAGGCACGAAAGCUAGGGGAGCGAACGGG